GACAUAAAAGUGAUCUAACUCUAUUGAUGAGCACGACAGUACAUACCAUCCCAUCAUGAUGUUGCCAUCUCUCACACUUGAUGAUUACAUCUUGUUAUUUCUAACAUGUACACCAUCGGGCCAUUGCUUUAUUAGAAAUAUAUUUACACAAUAUGAUGAGAGCAACAUCAAGGAGUCGGAUGCUGGUGCACAGAUUCUCCUCAAAUUCCACAUGCAACCCUUGUAGAGAAGAAUGACAUAUUUUUCUUAGGUGAUUUUUGACCGAGCUCCUACAGAAAAAUUCAAACAAAUCAUGAGGAGCAUGGAGCCAAGCAAACUAAUCAGAGUAAAUCAUGAGAGGAGAAGCCUCUCAACCUACUACAGGGAAUCGAGUCAACAUUAAUUCGUGUAAGAAUUAAACCGUAAUGUAGAUCAACAACCCAGUAGUUGAUAAAAUAACCCUGACACAACCCAUUAAUACAAUAUAUGGUCACAGGAAGUAGAUUGAGAUUGUGCAGAUAUCAUGAUCUACGAACCGUAUCUACGAAUAUUGAUUGCAAAGUCACAAAUAGAACCUCCUCACAUCACAAAACAAAUGUUUCAUCAACAGAAACUCUAGCGAAUGCCAAUUGGAUUAUAUAAGUAAGAUAGAGACAUCGAAAAAAAGAAAAGAUAAUUCAAAGAGUAUAUAUUCUAUUUUAUUACUUGACAUCACAGAGAAUGCAAGUCAAAGAUAUUGCGAUACAUCUUACACUUCUAUAAAUUGACUGCAAGGCACAACCCCUAGCAAAAUAUACAGAAUGAAUUGCUCCUGUGAUCCAAGUAUUGCAUAAAUAGUUGUAUACAGACUAUUCAAUAGUGAGCAUAAACAUGGCAUGUACUAACAAAAUCCCUUUGCAAUGGAGCUUAGUCUGCAUGUCUAUCCGUCUUUUUGUAAAUCAGUUGUGGCCAAGAUGUGCUGACAGCUCACAAGCCUCUCCCCGUUUACCAAUAAAACCAAAGCAGCUCAAAGCAAAAAAAAGAACAUAGAUAUAUGAACCUGAUGCAAUUGCUUGUAACUCCAGAGUGUUGGUAGAGUCGAGAAGAGAACACUCAGCCAAUGUUACAGCAGAUCGAUCUGUAGUCUUUGUUAGGGACGGCACCAUCAUUAGAGGUCCCAAUUGUAAAUCAAUCUGCAAGAGAUGGAGAUGCAACUGGAAGCUUACGGAUUUGAUGCAUUAAAACAGCCAUGGCCCAUGGGCAGAGGAGAAGUGACGGCAGCUGGGGAUCUGACGUGUCACAGACAGCAUGGGUAGAGGAGAGGCGGCGGCAGAUCAAGCCUUGGGCGUGGCAGGCGGAAGCACACUCACCCCUAUUGCACCCUUCCUACUUCCCCGUCCUUCUUCUCCUACCUCUCCUCCUCCCUGGAUCCUCCUAUGUCUCUCUUUUCUACAAGAAAAAUCGAAGCCCCGCCAUGACCUUGAGCUCCCCCUACCAACCAUAGAAAUUAGAUAUUUCCUAAUUGUUUGCAUAAAAAACAUACUGGCUGCAAGAGAAUGAAAGACUAACCUAUUGAUGAGCACAACAGUACAUACCAUCCCAUUAUGAUGUUGCCAUCUCUCACACUUGAUGAUUACAUCUUUUUAUUUCUAACAUGUACACCACCGGGCGAUUGCUUUAUUAGAAAUAUAUUUACACAAUAUGAUCAGAGCAACAUCAAGGAGUCGGAUGCUGGUGCACAGAUUCUCCUCAAAUUCCACAAGCUGAAAUUGAAGAGAAAACUGAAAGAAAGCUAUUAGUAACACCAAUUUAACCAGACACACCACACCACUAAUGACAAAAUAAAAAUUUAGAAGUUCCUAAAGAGGCCUUAUAUAUAAGAAGUGCAAGAUAGUGAUGAAACUACCAAAGCCACCAGAUCUUAGUACAGAUUAGUUAAGUAGACACUACUAUUUAGUAAGGAUGAACUAUAUUAUGGAUUUGAUUGGAAUAAGAAAAUAUCCUAUAAUAGCAUAUUAUACAAAGGCACAUAAAACAAUAAAGAGAAGUAAAAGUGGUAGUGAUGAACUUAUAAUAAUAAUAAUAAAUAGAUAGCACAUGACUCUUUUUAUACGACUUAUCAGCAGAAUCAGUGAGCCACAAUGGAGUUUUCUUGGGCUCAGGCUUUCUGCACACUGCCAUAUAGACCAAGUCAAACAUGGGUGGGCGGCCAAGAAUGUUGGGUUAUAGUUUUACAGAUAAAGAGAGGAGAAAUCACUUUGGCCUAUGAGCACAUCAUAAGAGAAGGCAACAUCACACACACAUAAGUACUUGUAACUGAAUUUAAGGAGGGCACAAUAUGUUGACAUAGGUGUGCCUACCAAAAAGAAAUGUCUAAAUGAAGAAAAAUCAAGUGUUUAGUAAUAUAAUACUACAAUGAUGAUGCAGACUAAAGUCUAAAUCAUCAAUGGUAAAUCCAUGGCACACAAAAAUUCUUCUCCAUAAUUGAUUUGCUCUCUUCAUCCAAAUGCCCAAACUCAUCACAACAUAGCAAAAUAGCCUGAAUGGAAUAAACCAUAUCUGAACCAUCAUAUGCAAUACACGAACCAUGUACUGAACUUAAUUGAUGUAUUACUACUGAACAUAGCAGAUUAGUCUCUAUGUGCAUGUAUUACUAAUUUACAGCUGAGCAGCCACUCUAAUGUAAUGAACUUAAGAACUGUUUGUUCCUCUUAAGCAACCCUGCAGUUUUCAUGAAAACUUUGGUUGUAGUGGUCCUAAAAUCACAGAUACAUGUACCUCUACAUCCACUUGGAGCUUCUUUGCAGCUUCCUCUCUAUGUUGCUAGACCAAUCUGCAGAUAAAAAAGGAUAAGGUAAAUAAUUGUUGUUUUAUUUGCCAAUAAUCAAACAACUAUGAUAUAGUAAGAAAAAAGUUAGUGGAGGUAUGGGAAGGACAAGUAGUUCUACUACACACAGAUGAUUAGGGGUCAGAGGGAAUUCAAGAUAAACCAAGACAAACUUCAAAAUUUAGUCCUAUAGUUGAACAUCAAAUUCAAAGCAAACGGGGAAGAAUCAAUGGGUCAGGGGUAAGGAUGCAACUGUGUGGGGGGGGGACAGCCCACUAAGCCGCUGCGCCGUCCCAUGAAGAAAACCCGCAAAACGGCGCCGGACCAACCACAUCAUGUCAAGCGGUCUCAAAUAGUCCAACCGCUUUGUCCAGCGGACGUCGCACAGUCUCGUGUAUCCUGCGAAAGGGAGAAAACUCUCCUGAGAAUUCCUGUCCUUCUCGACGCGAUAGAGGUGCGCGACUGUAUUGUAUAACAGGCUCAUCC
rnacentral:lncRNA from 1 species